GUGAAUCAUCGAAUUUUUGAACGCAAAUUGCACUCUCUGGCAUUCCGGAGAGUAUGCCUGUUUGAGGGUCAGUAUAAAUAAAAAUCGAGGUGUUGCUGUUUUUUGUCCCAUCGGACUUGGGUUAUUUUUGCCCUUUUAAAAAUUUUAAUUGACCUAAAAUUGAUUCAUUUUUCAUCCAACCGGUACGUAUAAAUAUUAUUUAAGCUUA
rnacentral:misc_RNA from 1 species